GCCUGGGUGGCUCAGUCAGUUGGGCACCUGACUUUGGCUCAGGUGAAGAUCCCACGGUUUGUGGGUUUGAGCCCCAAGUCAGGCU
rnacentral:tRNA from 1 species